rnacentral:rRNA from 1 species
CCCUAUGGGGUGCACCAGGCGUUUGUAACGGCGUGCGAGGCCACCGUAACCGGCCACCGCUGAAAUCCCGCUAUUUCGCACUUUUUUUCUUGCGACCACUGUCAGGUGUCGUAUGCCAAAGGAGCAGUCUGCUUCCCUUCUUGGGAAGAAGAGAAAAACGCGGGUGUCCGGGGGAAAUUUCGGACGCCCGCGCGGGUUCGAUGGAUGUGCGUUAUUUGAUGGGAACUUCUUUUCCGGCGGCGGCGGAACGGUAGACGCCGUCAAGCAUUUUCUGGACGGCGAGUCCGGCUUCGCCGGGGGCCUCGAGGGGGGUGUUGUGCAUGCAGCCUUCCACCCAGUUCCUCAGCUUGCGGUCGAACAGGUACACGAAUGAACAAUCCGUGGCCAGGAAUUGGCGGGAGAGC